rnacentral:tRNA from 1 species
GCGGCGGUAGUUCAGCGGCAGAACGCCGGCUUGCCAUGCCGGAGGUCGCGGGUUCAAAUCCCGUCCGCCGCUCAA